rnacentral:rRNA from 1 species
AUUGAACGCUGGCGGCAGGCCUAACACAUGCAAGUCGAGCGAGAGGCGGACGGGUGAGUAAUGUCUGGGAAACUGCCUGAUGGAGGGGGAUAACUACUGGAAACGGUAGCUAAUACCGCAUACCGUAAGAUGUGCGCAGAUGGGAUUAGCUAGUAGGUGGGGUAAUGGCUCACCUAGGAGACGGGCCCUAGCUGGUCGGAGAGGAUGACCAGCCACACGGGAACUGAGAAACGGUCAAGACGCCUACGGGAGGCAGGAGGGGGGAAUAUGGGAUAAUGGGCGCAAGCCUGAAGGAGCCAUGCCGCGUGUGUGAAGAAGGCCGUCGGGUUGUAAAGCACUUGCAUCGGGGAGGCGGUACCCGGAGAAGAAGCACCGGCUAACUCCGUGCCAGCCGCCGCGGUAAUUC